GACGAACGCUGGCGGCGUGCUUAACACAUGCAAGUCGAACGGAAAGGCCUGCUUUCCCUUGUGGAUUGCGGGUACUCGAGUGGCGAACGGGUGAGUAACACGUGAGUGAUCUGCCCCCAACUUGGGUAUAAGCCUGGGAAACUGGGUCUAAUUCCCGAUAGGACUGCAGGGUGGUGCCUGUGGUGGAAAACGAUUUUCUAGUGGUUGGGGAUGAGCUCGCGGCCUAUCAGCUUGUUGGUGGGGUAAUGGCCUACCAAGGCGGCGACGGGUAGCCGGCCUGAGAGGGUGGACGGCCACAUUGGGACUGGGAUCCCGCCCAGACUCCUACGGGAGGCAGCAGUGGGGAAUAUUGCACAAGGGGCGGAAGCCUGAUGCAGCGACGCCGCGUGGGGGAUGACGGCCUUCGGGUUGUAAACUCCUUUCGACCGCGAGGAAGCCACCUGGUUGGAAGGGUGGUGACGGUAGUGGUAGAAGAAGCACCGGCUAACUACGUG
rnacentral:rRNA from 1 species